rnacentral:rRNA from 1 species
AACUCCGUGCCAGCAGCCGCGGUAAUACGGAGGGUGCAAGCGUUAAUCGGAAUUACUGGGCGUAAAGAGUUCGUAGGCGGUUAGAUAAGUUAGAUGUGAAAGCCCUGGGCUCAACCUAGGAAUUGCAUUUAAUACUGUUUAACUAGAGUACAGUAGAGGAGAGGGGAAUUUCCAGUGUAGCGGUGAAAUGCGUAGAGAUUGGAAGGAACACCAGUGGCGAAGGCGACUCUCUGGACUGAUACUGACGCUGAGGAACGAAAGCAUGGGUAGCAAACAGGAUUAGAUACCCUGGUAGUCCAUGCUGUAAACGAUGAGUACUAGUUGUUGGAUUCGGUGUAAAGGAUCUAGUGACGUAGCUAACGCACUAAGUACUCCGCCUGGGGACUACGGCCGCAAGGCUAAAACUCAAAGGAAUUGACGGGGACCCGCACAAGCGGUGGAGCAUGUGGUUUAAUUCGAUGCAACGCGAAGAACCUUACCUGCUCUUGACAUACUGAGAACUUUUCAGAGAUGAAUUGGUGCCUUCGGGAACUCAGAUACAGGUGCUGCAUGGCUGUCGUCAGCUCGUGUCGUGAGAUGUUGGGUUAAGUCCCGCAACGAGCGCAACCCUUAUUGCCAGUUACCAUCAUUAAGUUGGGGACUCUGGUGAGACUGCCGUGGAUAACACGGAGGAAGGUGGGGACGACGUCAAGUCAUCAUGGCCCUUACGAGCAGGGCUACACACGUGCUACAAUGGGCAUUACAGAGGGAUGCAAAGCCGCGAGGUGGAGCGAAACCCAGAAAGGUGUUCGUAGUCCGGAUUGAUCUCUGCAACUCGAGAUCAUGAAGCCGGAAUCGCUAGUAAUCGCGAAUCAGAAUGUCGCGGUGAAUACGUUCCCGGGUCUUGUACACACCGCCCGUCACACCACGGGAGUGGGUUGCACCAGAAGUAGAUAGCUGAACCUUCGGGAGGCGUUUACCACGGUGUGAUUCAUGACUGGGGUGAAGUCGUAACAAGGUAGCCG